rnacentral:lncRNA from 1 species
GCAGUUUGAUCUCAGACUGCUGUGCUAGCAAUCAGCGAGACUCCGUGGGCGUAGGACCCUCCGAGCCAGGUGUGGGAUUUAAUCUCGUGGUGCGCCGUUUUUUAAGCCGGUCGGAAAAGUGCAGUAUUCGGGUGGGAGUGAUCCGAUUUUCCAGGUGUGUCCGUCACCCCUUUCUUUGACUUGGAAAGGGAACUCCCUGACCCCUUGUGCUUCCCAAGUGAGGCAAUGCCUUGCCCUGCUUCGGCUCGCGCACGGUGCGGGCACCCACUGACCUGCGCCCACUGUCUGGCACUCCCUAGUGAGGUGAACCCGGUACCUCAGAUGGAAAUGCAGAAAUCACCCGUCUUCUGCGUCGCUCACGCUGGGAGCUGUAGACCGGAGCUGUUCCUAUUCGGCCAUCUUGGCUCCUCCAGAUCAGAUUUAUUUGGAGAAGACAAAAAACCCACAACCCAAAGGACGGGAUUUUACAUCUCAAGACAUCUCCCAGGCCCCACCUCCCAAUACUGCCACAUUGGAGAUAAGUUUCUACAUGAUUUUCAGAAGGGACAAAACAUUCAAAGCAUAGCAGCAGGGAAGAAUGUGAAAACUCCAGGAAAUCACGAAUGUCUCUCUGGCUUCCUCUCCCUCUCAGAGACCCAAUUUGGAACUGAAACCCUGAGUACAGCAAAACUGCAUUUCCCAAGCUCCUCUUCUCUCAAUGGGUCACAUGACUUGUUCUAGCCAAUAGAACGAGGGUGGAACUAAUGUGACCACUUUCAGGUGGCCCCUAAAGUCUCCUGUGAGAUCUUCCAAUCUUGCUCUCCUCACUCUGCAUGGCUGGAAAUGAAUACUCUGAUAUCUGAAACAACAUGAUGAAGGAGCCAGGAUGCCUAAGUUCACCAC